UACAGAGGGGGCAAGCGUUGUUCGGAAUUACUGGGUGUAAAGGGCGCGUAGGCGGCCUGCUAAGUCGAACGUGAAAUCCCUGGGCUCAACCCAGGAACUGCGUCCGAUACUGGUUGGCUUGAAUCCGGGAGAGGGAUGCGGAAUUCCAGGUGUAGCGGUGAAAUGCGUAGAUAUCUGGAGGAACACCGGUGGCGAAGGCGGCAUCCUGGACCGGCAUUGACGCUGAGGCGCGAAAGCCAGGGGAGCAAACGGG
rnacentral:rRNA from 1 species